UACGGGGGGGGGCAAGCGUUGUUCGGAAUUACUGGGCGUAAAGGGCUCGUAGGCGGCCAACUCAGUCGGACGUGAAAUCCCUCGGCUUAACCGGGGAACUGCGUCCGAUACUGGAUGGCUUGAGUGUGGGAGAGGGAUGCGGAAUUCCAGGUGUAGCGGUGAAAUGCGUAGAUAUCUGGAGGAACACCGGUGGCGAAGGCGGCAUCCUGGGACUACUACUGACGCUGAGGAGCGAAAGCCAGGGGAGCAAACGGGG
rnacentral:rRNA from 1 species